GACGAACGCUGGCGGCGUGCUUAACACAUGCAAGUCGAACGGAAAGGCCUGCUUUUCCUUGUGGAUUGCGGGUACGCGAGUGGCGAACGGGUGAGUAACACGUGAGUGAUCUGCCCCCAACUUGGGUAUAAGCCCGGGAAACUGGGUCUAAUUCCCGAUAGGACUGCAGGGUGGUGUAUGUGGUGGCAGACGAGUUUCUAGUGGUUGAGGAUGGGCCCGCGUCCUAUCAGCUUGUUGGUGAGGCAAUGGCCUACCAAGGCGGCGACGGGGAGCCGGGCGGGGGGGGUGGACGGCUGGAUUGGGGCUGCGGUCCAGACCCGAAUGCGACGGAGGGGAAGAGAGGGGAAUGUAGCGCGAUGGAGGGUGGCCUGGUGCCGCGGCGCGGGGUGGGAGGUGCCGGCGUUCGGAUUGUAAUCUCCUUUCGACAGAGAGGAAGUGUACGUGUUGAUGGGGUGGUGACGGUAGUGGUAGAAGAAGCACCGGCUAACUUCGUG
rnacentral:rRNA from 1 species